rnacentral:lncRNA from 1 species
UCUUGUUUGCUAAGAAAGAAUGAGUCAGUUUUCAUAUAUUACAGGAAAAUAAUAUUUGCCUUCUAAAUAGCUGACACUGGGUUUUGCAUUUCCUAGAGCAACGAGGAAGAGUUGCCUGCAAAAGAAGGGAGAUGAAUUAAAUGGUUCUGAAUGUAGGCCAGAAUCUUAGAGAAGAUAUUGCAGCCUGUAAGUGCUCAGGAGUUUUGAAAGGAGCUGACUCAUGAGCCAUGUUCUGGGACACUGCUGAUUCUCAGUGGGCAAGCUGUACUGUGUGUAUUUUGGAGCUCCAUAACACAGACUCAUGCCUUGAAUGGGGGGAUGCCGGGAGGGCUGGGAUGCUUGGAGAGAAAAAGAAAAGAAACAGAAUAUGGCAAGACACUCUACAUGCUAAAGCUUACAGAUGCUUUGAUUACAGGAAACUUACGUAAAUGAUAACAGUGCGCAGAACUAGACGUGGAAGAAGGGAAAAAAUAUGGGAUCCCGACAUAGGCCUUUGUACUCAUAAAAUCACGGGUGAGACUGCUGAAAACAACUGUUGGGAGUUUUAUGAUUUAAUCCCAUUGACUGGAUCACUGAACAGGGCAUUUUUCACUUCCAGUUUUCGUGCUUUAGCUGACCUACGAAAUCUCAUGGUUUUGUUUGGUGACACGUGCUUUUAGGAAAACUUGUUAUUUCUGCUGUUCUGCACUGCCCUGUCUCCACUGAACUGCCUGAUCUCCUGUGGAAUUUACAGUUUCAGCGCAGCCAGCAAAUGCAGGGAAAGAAUGUGUGCUUCAUAGCUGGAGUGCUCCUGAUAACAGUCCAUUCUGGUAUCGGUGGCUGGAAGAGAGAGGGACUGCCACCCAGUGUUUUUACAGUGCCUGUUUCAGGCAGCUUCUAAAUUGACAGCGAAGGGUGGAGUGGGUAGGGGGAGAAACAAGAAAAAAAAAUUCCCUGUCUUUGGGGUGGGGGAGAUAAUUCUAAAAUCUCUGAGAAACUUAAAUAUGGUAAUUCCCUAUUCCAAACAUACACAAGUCACAAGCAACCUUAUUCUUUGGUUUCUAGGCACAUUUUUGAGUUUAGCACAAUAGGGAGAAGAAAAUUGGAGGUUAGCGAAUCCAGUAGGGCAAGAGGUGAAGAGGACUAAAUUUCAGUCAAGACAACAAGGAAAGUACAAAGAAUACAGUUUCUCUUUCAUGUGCUUUGAUCGUCUUUCCUGUUUUACCCUUAAUGAAUACUUUCUCAAAACUAAAAAUAAAACACUGCAUUCUAUUAAAUUGUGCUCUUCCUCUAAGGGAA